CAGUAGCCGCGGUAAUACGGAGGGUGCAAGCGUUAAUCGGAAUUACUGGGCGUAAAGCGCACGCAGGCGGUCUGUCAAGUCAGAUGUGAAAUCCCCGGGCUUAACCUGGGAACUGCAUUUGAAACUGGCAGGCUAGGGUCUUGUAGAGGGGGGUAGAAUUCCAGGUGUAGCGGUGAAAUGCGUAGAGAUCUGGAGGAAUACUGGUGGCGAAGGCGGCCCCCUGGACAAAGACUGACGCUCAGGUGCGAAAGCGUGGGGAGCAAACAGGAUUAGAUACCCCGGUAGUCCCUGUCUCUUAUAC
rnacentral:rRNA from 1 species